GACGAACGCUGGCGGCGUGCCUAAUACAUGCAAGUCGAGCGAAUGGAUUAAGAGCUUGCUCUUAUGAAGUUAGCGGCGGACGGGUGAGUAACACGUGGGUAACCCGCCCAUAAGACUGGGAUAACUCCGGGAAACCGGGGCUAAUACCGGAUAACAUUUCGAACCGCAUGGUUCGAAAUUGAAGGGCGGCUUCGGCUGUCACUUAUGGAUGGACCCGCGUCGCAUUAGCUAGUUGGUGAGGUAACGGCUCACCAAGGCAACGAUGCGUAGCCGACCUGAGAGGGUGAUCGGCCACACUGGGACUGAGACUCGGCCCAGACUCCUACGGGAGGCAGCAGUAGGGAAUCUUCCGCAAUGGACGAAAGUCUGACGGAGCAACGCCGCGUGAGUGAUGAAGGCUUUCGGGUCGUAAAACUCUGUUGUUAGGGAAGAACAAGUGCUAGUUGAAUAAGCUGGCACCUUGACGGUACCUAACCAGAAAGCCACGGCUAACUACGUGCCAGCCGCCGCAGUAA
rnacentral:rRNA from 1 species